UUAAUGAAGAGCUUAAGUGAUCUGAAAGGAAAACCAUCGGUCAAGUCGCUCAGUUCCAUUUCAGUUCUCUUUCUUGAACUCCAUUUUAUUUGAGAGUUCAUCUUAAAAAUUGUACUGAAUCGAUUCUAAGUGCAAAAAAAAACAUUCGAACUAAAUUGAUAUUAAUUGAAAAAUGAGGGCAACAAUAAUCAUUGUUUUGUUAGUUUUUUCUGUACAAAAUUCAACAGGUUUAACAUUUUAUCCAUCUUCGAAAAACUUAAAAGUCGCAAACCCCUUCAACUUUCAGACGGAUCUUCUAACGUGGAAAAAUAGCCCAGCUCAAUGCACACAAUCUUGUGAAACAAAAGGCGACACUGAGCAUCGGCGAGUGAUCAGGUUUGAAAAAAUAACUGGAAAGUGCGAAUGCCUUCUGGACAGCGAAACUGAGCCAUUCGAUGAUUCUACAUUAGCCAAGGAACUACGUGUAACAUACUUCUACCCAAGAAAUUCGAUAGUUUCUGGAAGCCAGUAAUUCAAGCAAAACGGGGAACUAACGACAAUCACAAAGCUCAAUUUGUAACAAAACCCUCUUUUUUCAUUCAUCAAAACCGUGCUUCAAUCUCCAGCAAAAAAGAAUGCCCUAUUCGAUUGUCGUCUGCUUAUAUCGAUGUGAACCCUACCUUCAGAUGAACAGGAUUGAACCCAUUUUUCAUAAACUGCAGCCUGGCUGAAUUUAAUUUGUGAGCAGUGAAAGCGGCCAAAUAGGCGGACGCUAAGCUCGGAUAAAUCUUUAAAAAAACUUUUUUGCAUUGCUCUCAGUUUACUGACAAAA